rnacentral:rRNA from 1 species
UACGUAGGGGGCAAGCGUUAUCCGGAUUUACUGGGUGUAAAGGGAGCGUAGACGGCAAGGCAAGUCUGGAGUGAAAGCCCGUGGCCCAACCCCGGGACUGCCCUUGGAACUGCAUGGCUGGAGUGCGGGAGGGGCAGGCGGAAUUCCUGGUGUAGCGGUGAAAUGCGUAGAUAUCAGGAGGAACACCAGUGGCGAAGGCGGCUUACUGGACUGUAACUGACGUUGAGGCUCGAAAGCGUGGGGAGCAAACAGG